GGAACGCGGCGAAUGCGGACGGACCGCACUGGCGCGAAUGAUAUUGCGACUCAUUUAACAGAACGCCACGGACGCGAGAUGGACGUGCUUCGGAACGGAGGCGUCAUUGCGGCUCGUUUAACAAAAUGCGGCGUACGCAGAAAGAAUCAACUCCGGGACGAAUGGCGUUACGAUUCAUUUAAUUAAUCGUAUAAUAUCGUAUGUACUACAAUUCUAUUAUUGCACAUCGUGGAAAUAUAAUCUGAAGAGAAGAUCUGACAACUCGGAAAUAAAUUCGGGUUUCGGUAGACAAACUUUGCGAUUCAUCGCAGCGAUGUGUCCAUUAACGCCACUCUUGCGCAUUGAUUCGUGAGUAUGAAAAAAA
rnacentral:lncRNA from 13 species